UUGGAGGGCAAGUCUGGUGCCAGCAGCCGCGGUAAUUCCAGCUCCAAUAGCGUAUAUUAAAGUUGUUGCAGUUAAAAAGCUCGUAGUUGAAUUUCGGGGUCAGUAGGUUGGUCGUGCCACUGGUAUGCACUGGUCUCACUGAUUCCUCCUUCCUGAUGAACCGUAAUGCCAUUAAUUUGGUGUUGCGGGGAAUCUGGACUGUUACUUUGAAAAAAUUAGAGUGUUUAAAGCAGGCAAUCGCUUGAAUACAUUAGCAUGGAAUAAUGAAAUAGGACGAUCGAUCCUAUUUUGUUGGUUUCUAGGAUUGACGUAAUGAUUAAUAGGGAUAGUUGGGGGCAUUAGUAUUCAAUUGUCAGAGGUGAAAUUCUUGGAUUUAUUGAAGACUAACUACUGCGAAAGCAUUUGCCAAGGAUGUUUUCAUUAAUCAAGAACGAAAGUUAGGGGAUCGAAGACGAUCAGAUACCGUCGUAGUCUUAACCAUAAACUAUGCCGACUAGGGAUCGGAUGAUGUUAAUUUUUUAAUGACUCAUUCGGCGCCUUACGGGAAA
rnacentral:rRNA from 1 species